ACAUUAAGGACUCGCUCUAACCACUGAGCUAGCUAGAC
rnacentral:tRNA from 1 species